rnacentral:lncRNA from 1 species
UGGCCCAUUCGAUCGUCCCCUUGGACGUUCCAGUGCCGGCCAGCAGCAGAUCCUGCGUCCCAAGCUUACGUGAGAAAGAACGAAGAACGUAAGUCUUCUUUUGCUUACCUGGAGCAGUGCGAUGAUCUGGUCGUUGCUCAGCUUGUUUUCUCCUCCCAGAGUCAGCAUCACGUCGACGAAGUCCCGGGGAUUUUCUGGAUCGAAGUCUUUCGCGUGCUCCUCGAUGACUGCUUCCAGAAAGCGAGAUCUUGCUGGUAAGGCUUCAUUCUUGAGACGGUUUUGCGUCCCUCUGAGCGUGUCCAGCCAUCGUAUCGCAGGGAUGUAAUCACCGGCAAACAGCCUCCUGGAUUCUUUCGCUUGGAUCGCCCACGACGCCUUGUAGGCUUCGGCCUCGGGAGUGAGCGGCGUGUCGGUGCCGUAGAACUUCCUCCCGAACAACACGCACGUCAUGAGGUUGGUGAAGUACUCGUGCAGCAUGGAGCUGAGAUCAAACUCGUGCCCGUCUUUUGCAGACGCCUCGACGAUCUCUCCAAACGCUCCCAGCUCCCUCUUGCGAGUGCCGGCAAAGUGGCUCACCUUGGAGGCCGUGAAGAGCUCUGUG